rnacentral:rRNA from 1 species
CAGUCGCCGCGGGAAUACGAAGGGUGCAAGCGUUGUCCGGAAUUAUUGGGCGUAAAGCGCGCGCAGGCGGAUAGGUCAGUCUGUCUUAAAAGUUCGGGGCUUAACCCCGUGAUGGGAUGGAAACUGCCAAUCUAGAGUAUCGGAGAGGAAAGUGGAAUUCCUAGUGUAGCGGUGAAAUGCGUAGAUAUUAGGAAGAACACCAGUGGCGAAGGCGACUUUCUGGACGAAAACUGACGCUGAGGCGCGAAAGCCAGGGGAGCGAACGGGAUUAGAUACCCCCGUAGUCCCUGUCUCUUAUACA